rnacentral:rRNA from 1 species
GGGUAACAGAGGUAGCUUGCUACUUGCUGACGACCGGCGCACGGGUGCGUAACGCGUAUAGAAUCUACCUUGUACUAGGGGAUAGCCUUUGGAAACGAAGAUUAAUACCCUAUAGUAAGUAUUUAUGGCAUCAUUUAUACUUUAAAGGUUACGGUACAAGAUGACUAUGCGUCCUAUUAGUUUGUUGGUGAGGUAACGGCUCACCAAGACUUCGAUAGGUAGGGGCCCUGAGAGGGGGAUCCCCCACACUGGUACUGAGACACGGACCAGACUCCUACGGGAGGCAGCAGUGAGGAAUAUUGGACAAUGGAGGCAACUCUGAUCCAGCCAUGCCGCGUGCAGGAUGACGGCCCUAUGGGUUGUAAACUGCUUUUAUGUAGGAAGAAACACUCUCACGUGUGAGAGCUUGACGGUACUACAAGAAUAAGGACCGG